rnacentral:rRNA from 1 species
GACGAACGCUGGCGGCGUGCUUAACACAUGCAAGUCGAACGGAAAGGCCCUGCUUUUGUGGGGUGCUCGAGUGGCGAACGGGUGAGUAACACGUGAGUAACCUGCCCUUGACUUUGGGAUAACUUCAGGAAACUGGGGCUAAUACCGGAUAGGAGCUCCUGCUGCAUGGUGGGGGUUGGAAAGUUUCGGCGGUUGGGGAUGGACUCGCGGCUUAUCAGCUUGUUGGUGGGGUAGUGGCUUACCAAGGCUUUGACGGGUAGCCGGCCUGAGAGGGUGACCGGCCACAUUGGAACUGGAAUACGGCCCAGACUCCUACGGGAGGCAGCAGUGGGGAAUAUUGCACAAUGGGCGGAAGCCUGAUGCAGCAAAGCCGCGUGCGGGAUGACGGCCUUCGGGUUGUAAACCGCUUUCGCCUGUGACGAAGCGUGAGUGACGGUAAUGGGUAAAGAAGCACCGGCUAACUACGUG